UUCCGGUUGAUCCUGCCGGACCCUACUGCUAUCGGGGUGGGACUAAGACAUGCGAGUUGAGCGUCUCUAAGCUAUGGUAGAGACGCGGCGUACGGCUCAGUAACACGUGGCUAACCUACCCUUAGGACGGGGACAACCCCGGGAAACUGGGGCUAAUACCCGAUAGGCGAGGAGGCCUGGAAUGGUUCUUAGUCGAAAAGGCGUUGAAACCAUGCUUUUCGACGUCGCCUAAGGAUGGGGCCGCGCCCGAUCAGGUUGUUGGUGGGGUAACGGCUCACCAAGCCUAUAACCGGUACGGGCCGUGAGAGCGGGAGCCCGGAGAUGGGCACUGAGACAAGGGCCCAGGCCCUACGGGGCGCAGCAGUCGCGAAAACUCCGCAAUGCGCGAAAGCGUGACGGGGCUACCCCGAGUGCCGUCCGCUGAGGAUGGCUUUUCUCCGGUGUAAUGAGCCGGGGGAAUAAGGAGAGGGCAAGUCUGGUGUCAGCCGCCGCGGUAAUACCAGCUCUCCGAGUGGUAGGGAUGAUUAUUGGGCUUAAAGCGUCCGUAGCCGGCUUAGCAAGUCUCCUGUUAAAUUCAGCGACCUAAUCGUUGAGCCGCGGGAGAUACUACUAGGCUAGGAGGCGGGAGAGGCCGACGGUAUUCUCGGGGUAGGGGUGAAAUCCUAUAAUCCCGGGAGGACCACCAGUGGCGAAGGCUGUCGGCUAGAACGCGCUCGACGGUGAGGGACGAAAGCUGGGGGAGCGAACCGGAUUAGAUACCCGGGUAGUCCCAGCUGUAAACGAUGCGGGCUAGGUGUUGGGGUGGCUACGAGCCACUUCAGUGCCGCAGGGAAGCCAUUAAGCCCGCCGCCUGGGGAGUACGGCCGCAAGGCUGAAACUUAAAGGAAUUGGCGGGGGAGCACCACAAGGCGUGAAGCUUGCGGUUCAAUUGGAGUCAACGCCGGA
rnacentral:rRNA from 1 species